rnacentral:rRNA from 1 species
UACGAAGGGGGGCUAGCGUUGUUCGGAUUUACUGGGCGUAAAGCGCACGUAGGCGGAUCGAUCAGUCAGGGGUGAAAUCCCAGAGCUCAACUCUGGAACUGCCUUUGAUACUGUCGAUCUGGAGUAUGGAAGAGGUGAGUGGAAUUCCGAGUGUAGAGGUGAAAUUCGUAGAUAUUCGGAGGAACACCAGUGGCGAAGGCGGGUCUCUGGGCCGUAACUGACGCUGAGGAGCGAAAGCAUGGGGAGCGAACAGG